rnacentral:lncRNA from 1 species
AUGUGUCUGAUUGCAGGAUUAUUCCUCUAUUUUUCUAUAGCAUUAUCAUUUCUCAUUUUAAAACAUUAUUUGCUGUUACUGACCCUUCAUUCCAGAAACACAUCGCUUUCUUCCUCUGUACUGGAGUGUAGCAACACAAAGAUACAGCCAACAAUUUCACUUGGUGGUCUGAUGAACUCUCAUAAAUGCCUUGUUUACAGCAUAAGAAUCAUUUGUCUUCCUGUAGUCUGGCUACCCCAGGCAAAGUGCAGCAGGAGGCAGAAGAAUCCCAUCAUAAGUAGGUAAGCACAAAUCUUUCACGUGUUUCUGCCCAUGCCUGCAUCUGUAGUGCCACCUAGUGUCAGAGAGGGAUAAUAACAUUUUUAGAAGUCAA